rnacentral:rRNA from 1 species
GUACACUCCUGCGGGAGGCAGCAGUGGGGAAUAUUGCACAAUGGGCGCAAGCCUGAUGCAGCCAUGCCGCGUGUAUGAAGAAGGCCUUCGGGUUGUAAAGUACUUUCAGCGGGGAGGAAGGCAAUACGGUUAAUAACCGUGUUGAUUGACGUUACCCGCAGAAGAAGCACCGGCUAACUCCGUGCCAGCAGCCGCGGUAAUACGGAGGGUGCAAGCGUUAAUCGGAAUUACUGGGCGUAAAGCGCACGCAGGCGGUCUGUCAAGUCGGAUGUGAAAUCCCCGGGCUCAACCUGGGAACUGCAUUCGAAACUGGCAGGCUUGAGUCUUGUAGAGGGGGGUAGAAUUCCAGGUGUAGCGGUGAAAUGCGUAGAGAUCUGGAGGAAUACCGGUGGCGAAGGCGGCCCCCUGGACAAAGACUGACGCUCGGGUGCGAAAGCGUGGGGAGCAAACAGGAUUAGAAACCCUGGUAGUCCC